rnacentral:rRNA from 1 species
UAAGGAAUAUUGCUCAAUGGGAGAAAUCCUGAAGCAGCAACGCCGCGUGGAGGAUGAAGGGUCUAUGACUUGUAAACUCCUGUAAAGAAGGAAAAAAUUCCCAUUAGAUGGGAGAUGAUGGUACUUCUGGAGUAAGCCCCGGCUAACUACGUGCCAGCAGCCGCGGUAAUACGUAGGGGGCAAGCGUUGUCCGGACUUACUGGGUGUAAAGGGUGCUCAGGCGGAUUUGUAAGUCAGAGGUGAAAUCUUACAGCUUAACUGUGAAACUGCCUUUGAUACUAUUUGUCUUGAAUAUUGCGGAGGUAAGCGGAAUAUGUCAUGUAGCGGUGAAAUGCUUAGAUAUGACAUAAACACCAAUUGCGAAGGCAGCUUACUACACAAUCAUUGACACUGAGGCACGAAAGCGUGGGUAGCGAACA